CAGAUGGCAACAAUGACUUCGAGCUGUAAGGUUUGUUCCAUAACCCAUUGACCAUACAUCUGGCCAUCCUGCUGGCAUACAUGGGUGCCCUACUUAUGAAUAAUCCCAGGACAUGGAGGCUGUGAGGCUGGUACCACAGCCCAGCGAAGGUACAGUGAAAGCCUCAUUACAUGUGUCUUCUGGAGUCAUACCAAGUAGAAGAAGAUGUCUUUGAAGUUAAUGCCCUAAAAUGCCGUUCCUGUCAAUAAGGAUUAAACAUUUCAGAGUACUCACUGCAAUAAUAACAAUUAAAAAAAACACAUAAUUGCAGUCAUCUUUACAACCAGCACCCCUGCUGCAGAUAGGAUGGUAAUUGCUUGGAAGUGUCUGUUUGCCUAAGGGGCUGCUUAGUGAGUUUAUGGCUGAGGGAGGAUUUAAACAGAAGGCUUCCAUCUCACACUCUGAAAGUGCACUUUUUAGCAAGCUUACUGGGG
rnacentral:lncRNA from 1 species